rnacentral:pre_miRNA from 1 species
GGGCGGAGGCCGGAUCCCGGGCUGUGUCCCCAGCGCACUGUGCUGGGGCCUGCACUGUUGGAUUCGCACUUCGGGCUGCGCAGCCGCCU